CAUGAGCCCCGUUUAUUGACAGGAUAUUAUUGACUCGGUAUCCAUCCAAUUAAAUCGGUUAUACUUGAAGUUUCUGAAGAGGAAUCCAGGCUAUGAUGGAAAGGUUUCAAUAUAUGGGCAUUCGUUGGGAAGUGUCCUUUCCUAUGAUAUUCUCUGUCAUCAGGAGAAUUUAUCCUCCCAAUUUCCAAUGGAUUGGAUAUACAAAGAACAUGCUUGAAAUGAAGAAUCAUCUCCUGAUGUGAACAACCAGUCUUCUCUGUGUGACUCUAUGACAAAGCUGGAGGAUAAAGAUUUCUCGGUUGUUAAUGAAACUGAGGACAGGGUGGAUCACUUUGAGGACAAGAUUACUUCACAAACAGAUUUAGAUGCUGAAAACGAGGAAGGAGAUGCUGCAGAUUCCUCAAUAAUUGUGGGUCCUAUCACUUCAGAUUUAGAUGAACUUACUGCAAAGGCUAUGGACUCCAAGCAACCAGGUGGUGAGAAAGAUGUUGAUGAAUUACUUUGUGAUUCUAGUGACAUACUU